AGAUGCCCACACCAUUGGUGUUGAUAAGGUUGGCGAGCUAUGGAAUGUGUUAUCUGAGACUUUUGCCGGUAAAACACUGUUUUGUGGGAACUUGUUUCAUAGGGAAGUUGGCCCUUGCCAUUGACAAACUUCCCCCAAUGUUCAUCUUCAAUGAAUGAUAACACAUCCUGAGGGUUCUGUAGCAUGAGAUGCUGUAAGGUGGGGAGAUUUAGAACUGAAAGGUUUCAGAGAUUUAGAACUGCGACUUCCACUGCUGUUGAUACUGGUGAUAGCAAUGACAGCUCCAAA
rnacentral:misc_RNA from 1 species